rnacentral:lncRNA from 1 species
CCAGGAUUCAUAUUCAUUAUUGUCAUCUUCCAUGGAAGACACCAUGGAUCAGCUUCUCAAGCUUUGUUCAACUGCAGACUUGUUCUUUUGGAUCAGUGUACACAAGGACCACAUUUGAGCUUUGUGUGGGAUCAGCCAGAAAUCCUGCCUAUGAGAAUGGCCUCCUGUUGGCCGCUUGUGAGAUGGCACUGAGGACCACACGGGGGCACCAGAGCCUCAUCACCAACAAGGCAGUGCAUUUGAUUGGUGUCUCUGAAGCUCGGAGGAGCUAUGGACAGAAUCGGGGCCCACAGAUCUGGGCCGGGGUGGACUCUGCAUGGAGGUAGGCUCAGAAUAGUCUUGCACAGAUCAUCCUGAACCUCAAGAAGGCAUCAGAGUUAGUCCCAACACAAGUCCCGGACUGAACCCCAACCUUGUUUCAAAAUGGGAUCCAACUCUGUCUCAUGGCUCAGUCCCAGUUUGACGUCAGGCAGACCCUGAUCCUCUGGCCCUAAGUUGAACCCCAAUCGAUGUCUCUGUCUGAGCCCCAUCCCCAGUCACAUAUAGAUCCCAACCCUAUUCCACACUCAGAGGGAAAAACAGUGAUCAGAAUGCCUGUGGCUGUGGCCAGG